rnacentral:misc_RNA from 1 species
UUUCCGUAGGUGAACCUGCGGAAGGAUCAUUACUGAGUGAGGGCCCCUCGGGGUCCAACCUCCCACCCGUGUUUAACGAACCUUGUUGCUUCGGCGGGCCCGCCUCACGGCCGCCGGGGGGCAUCUGCCCCCGGGCCCGCGCCCGCCGAAGCCACCUGUGAACGCUGUCUGAAGUAUGCAGUCUGAGACAAUUAUUAAGUUAAUUAAAACUUUCAACAACGGAUCUCUUGGUUCCG